GCGUUAGUUCGGCCCAAUGGCGGCACCGCUGCUUCACACGUUGUUUGUCGGGAGAUGCGGCCGCUUCGUCCUCUGCAGUCAAGACGCUGGGCGCGUCGAGGACUGGCUUCUACUUGAAUGAAGACAAAAAUCUAGGCCGGGCGCGGUUGCUCACGCCUGUAAUCCCAGCACUUUGGGAGGCCGAGGUGGGCGGAUCACCUGAAGUCAGGAGUUCGAGACCAGCCUGGCCAACAUGCGAAACCUCGUCUCUACUGAAAAUAUAAAAAUUAGCCAGGCGUGGUGGCAGGUGCCUGUAAUCCCAGCUACUCAGGAGGCUGAGGCAGGAGAAUUGCUUGAACCCGGAGAUGGAGGUUGCAGUUAAGCUGAGAUCACACCACUGCACUCCAGCCUGGGCAGCAGAGCAAGACUCCAUCUCAAAAAAAAAAAAAAAUCCAGCCACGUAGAGAUUUGGGAAAAGAGUAUUUCCAAUAGAGUGAACAGAUUUCAAAUAUGCGUGCAUUAGAGAAUGAUUUUUUCAAUUCUCCCCCAAGAAAAACUGUUCGGUUUGGUGGAACUGUGACAGAAGUCUUGCUGAAGUACAAAAAGGGUGAAACAAAUGACUUUGAGUUGUUGAAGAACCAGCUGUUAGAUCCAGACAUAAAGGAUGACCAGAUCAUCAACUGGCUGCUAGAAUUCCGUUCUUCUGUCAUGUACUUGACAAAAGACUUUGAGCAACUUAUCAGUAUUAUAUUGAGAUUGCCUUGGUUGAAUAGAAGUCAAACAGUAGUGGAAGAGUAUUUGGCUUUUCUUGGUAAUCUUGUAUCAGCAUAGACUGUUUUCCUCAGACCGUGUCUCAGCAUGAUUGCUUCCCAUUUUGUGCCUCCCUGAGUGAUCAUUAAGGAAGGCGAUGUAGAUGUUUCAGAUUCUGAUGAUGAAGAUGAUAAUCUUCCUGCAAAUUUUGACACAUAUCACAGAGCCUUGCAAAUAAUAGCAAGAUAUGUACCAUCAUGAGUAUACUUUUCCUUAUUUUGAAUGUUUAAUUCUCAAGAAAAUUGUAAUCAAUUAGUAAAAAUUAUAAAAUGUUAAUAGUAUUAAAGCUUGAGUCUUACAUUGCAUUUUUUUUUUUGUAUCCACUUGAGGAAACAUUACAUUCUACAAAAAGUGGCAUUUCCAUUUUCUAUUUAUUCUCUUUAAUUGUUUUUCAAAGUUCGUAUGCAGAUUCUCCCCCAAUUUUGUAUGGUGGUUGGAAUUUUGUUUUUAUCUUCAACAGAUAUGCUAUCCAAAAUUUUUCAGUGAGAAACCCCUGGGUGUGUUUGUGUCAUGCCAUAUGAAUAAAAAUUGCACUUCUAAGAAAA
rnacentral:lncRNA from 1 species